rnacentral:rRNA from 1 species
GGUGCAAGCGUUACUCGGAAUUACUGGGCGUAAAGCGUGCGUAGGUGGUGAGUUAAGUCUGUCGUGAAAGCCCCGGGCUCAACCUGGGAAUGGCGAUGGAUACUGGCUCGCUAGAGUGCGGUAGAGGAGAGUGGAAUUCCCGGUGUAGCAGUGAAAUGCGUAGAGAUCGGGAGGAACAUCAGUUGCGAAGGCAGCUCUCUGGACCAGCACUGACACUGAGGCACGAAAGCGUGGGGAGCAAACAGGAUUAGAUACCCUGGUAGUCCACGCCCUAAACGAUGCGAACUGGACGUUGGGAGCAAUCAGGCUCUCAGUGUCGAAGCUAACGCGUUAAGUUCGCCGCCUGGGGAGUACGGUCGCAAGACUG